GUGGGUAUAGCUUAGUCGGUUAAAGCGCCAGAUUGUGGUCCUGGAGACCGAGGGUUCGAAUCCCUCUACCCACCCCA
rnacentral:tRNA from 3 species